AAGCUCAUCCCUGUUGAAGCAUGAGGAUAUUUUAGGUGUUCUCCAACAUGUAAAUGCAACAGACUGGAGUUUUCAUCAAAUAUCUUAAAAAAAUGUCAAAUUUUGAGCAGUUUCACUUCGACUUUUACCAGUCCAAUUAUACCAUAGAUGACCAGGAAGAAGGUUACAACAGUUAUGGAUCUAAUGAAAACCUCUGUGGAAACAGAAAGAGCCAGACGGGAGAGCAACCUCCAGCCAGUGGUUUUGCCCCAUCGGAAAUGCUUCUGUCCUCUCAGAGUUACACGGGUCAGAUUUUGCAGCCAACGUACAGUCCCAACACUCUCUCUUAUCUUAGUUACACUGACGGAUUUGAUGAGGAACCUCCUUUGCUAGAAGAACUUGGGAUCAAUUUUGAGCAUAUAUGGCAAAAAACAUUAACAGUUCUAAAUCCAAUGAAGCCUGCGGAUGGCAGCAUUAUGAAUGAGACAGACCUUACCGGACCUAUGGUUUUCUGUUUGGCCCUUGGAGCAACAUUGCUGCUGGCAGGAAAAGUUCAUUUCGGCUAUGUGUAUGGCCUGAGUGCCAUUGGGUGCCUUGCUAUGCAUGCCCUCCUGAACCUGAUGAGCAUCCCAGGAGUCUCGCACGGCUGCGUUGCAAGUGUCUUGGGCUAUUGCCUGCUGCCCAUGGUGAUCUUGUCCUCUUCUGCAGUUGUCUUCUCGCUACACGCACCAGUCUGAUUAUUGAUUGGGUCCUGCUGCAAAGGAGGAGGCUCAGAUGAGUUGCUAAGGUCAGUUGCCAAGAAUACCCUGAAGUGCGGCAAGGAUCUCCACUAGAUCUUUCAAGUGACUAUGCUGAAGAUCUGUGCCUUUCUUUUAAUGCAGGACAAUCAGAGACCACUUAAAACCACAAAGUUCUGGAAAACAGUGCUUCUAAAGCACAUAUCACUCGCUGGGGCCUUAUUAUACUGAAGGUAACGUAAAACUGUAAACAGCAUAUGCUAAGCUUCUGUAUUGUACAACAAAUUCUGUGUUGUGUAUAGUCUUCUGUUUCAGAAAAUGGCUGCAAGAAGUUCAGCUGUAAUCAGCAAGGUAUAAAAUUCCUGCAGAUUCCAAAAAAUGAUGAACCCAACCCAAAAGUUGCCUGUACUCAAGACAAGGCAUCCCAUGGGGUCUUUCACAUUACAACUGGAACUUUAACACAUACAAAAAUCAGACACAUGCUUGAGUUUUGACAAUGAAGCUUGCACAUUCAAAACUUAGAUACUCCAAAUUUCCAUACAACCCUGGUGAGGCUAUCUAAGCAACUGUAGUCAUAAACAAAAGACUGGUAAACAUUAAUUCUGAUCCAGUAAGUACAUAAGUAUUUUGCACAAAAUAUAUUGGAAGAGAUCAAGAGACUUCCAUGUGAUAUAAUUUCUUAUUACGCUAUGGGAGACGUGGGUCUAAUCCAGGUAACGAACAGAACUGCCUCUGAGUUUCCCCCUCCCAUAUAACCAUUACAGGAUUGAGUAAAUAUGUGGCAUUACUAAUCCCAUGCUAAUACUCUGAGCACAGGUAAGUGACAAGUGGUUUUGGUAGCUAACAACCAUACUGAAUACUGAAUUCGGCUUAGCAUAAGGAACCGAAUGUUUCUCAGCAUUUAGGAACGGCUUGUUUAGCUUGCUGGCUUUCAUGAGUCUAUUUAUUGUGAGCAUAGAUGCCUAACUCUGAAUAUGGAUUCUGCUAAAAGUUAAAUACCACAGCUAUUAUGAUUAGUCCACCCCCUUCAUGUAUUCCCUCACCAGUUUUAGGGAAAACACUUCAUGUACCCCCAAUUACCACAGAAAAAAGUCAGACACACAUAUGAUCAGAGCAAUAAUGGAUUUCUUUUCCUUCUCCAAGCAGGAUCAACAGAAGGCCGCCCAACAGGUACCCCUAAACAGCUAGUUAAAUUAUACAUUUCUGCUUAUAUUCCCUUUUUCUCCCCUUUUUGCUUCCCAAGUUCUU